rnacentral:rRNA from 1 species
GUGGGGAAUUUUGGACAAUGGGCGCAAGCCUGAUCCAGCAAUGCCGCGUGCAGGAAGAAGGCCUUCGGGUUGUAAACUGCUUUUGUACGGAACGAAACGGUCCGGGUUAAUACCCUGGGCUAAUGACGGUACCGUAAGAAUAAGCACCGGCUAACUACGUACCAGCAGCCGCGGUAAUACGUAGGGUGCAAGCGUUAAUCGGAAUUACUGGGCGUAAAGCGUGCGCAGGCGGUUUUGUAAGACAGGCGUGAAAUCCCCGGGCUCAACCUGGGAAUUGCGGUUGUGACUGCAAGGAUGGAGUGCGGCAGAGGGGGAUGGAAUUCCGCGUGUAGCAGUGAAAUGCGUAGAUAUGCGGAGGAACACCGAUGGCGAAGGCAAUCCCCUGGGCCUGCACUGACGCUCAUGCACGAAAGCGUGGGGAGCAAACAGGAUUAGAUACCCUAGUAGUCC